GUCACAGAGGAGCCCGAAGCUCCCGCGAGCGCCUGCAUUUAGAUAGGGCGUCUACACUGGUCAGCUACUCGGGCACUGGAGGAAUCCGGCUAGACCGUGAUGACUCCGAGACUCCUGAGGCUGCCUGUUCUCAGUCUGGCGGGACGGCCUGUGUCUGAGGGCAGGGACUGCAGGCCGCAGAGCGGUUCCCAGCAACAGGGCCGACGGAGAGCCCUGCCGGGGAGAGGGCGGCUGGCUCCCUGCACCUCCACCUGCCCCCCCAGUUUGCAGCGUUGUGGGAGCCCCGGAAAGGCCACGCCAGCAGCCCCCGACGGCAGAGGAGAGGACUAGAAGCCCAGAGCAGCUGCAGGCAGCGAAGGCAGUGAGUGCCGACAGAGCAGGGGCCUGGUGGCCUCCCGUGGCCGCCACACCCACCCGAAGGGGAGAGUCACGUGGCCGACAGCGUGGGCCCUGCGCCCCGUGUGCAAUACGCCACGGUUUGGGUGUACAAGGGUGAUUUUCGGGGCUGCUGGGGCAGCCAUUGAGUAUCAGCAACGCUUGGUAGCUGUUUUGGUUCUCAGAAACCGUCAGCGGGCAGUCAGCAGGCCCUGCCGCUCGCUGGUGGACACACAGCUCGCCCGAGGGGAAAGCUACUCCGGGAGCCUCAGCCUUGGGAAGCAGCAACCUCUGGGUCCAGGAGGAGCUCCUUCCCACCCAGCAAGCAGCCACCGGAACACCUGAAGUGGCUCGUGUGUACGGAACAGGUAUUUGUUCUGGAAGCCGAGAAGUCGGGGUCAAGGAGCCGGCAUAGGGGACGGCCUCGUGCUGUGCCGUCGCGUGGCGAGGGCAUUGGCUGAUGCCAGCAGAGGCUUCUCCGGGAGGGUCGUCACAACCGCAGCUCAUCCCAGUGACUCCCAGACACCAGGGACACCUGGAUCUGGGGCUAAGCACGGGGGGACGCAGGCCCCAGCAGGCCUGUGCGAUCUUGAGUCCUGGACACGAGCUAACAGCCACAGGCAAGCAGAACCACCCGGGGAUUCUCAGUCACAGAGGGAGGGUUUCCUGCAGUGCAAGCAGCCCCCAUUGCUCCCCACACCUCUGCGGGCCCCCAGCUCUGCAGGCCCACCCGUGGCCACGCAACCCGGCUCGCUCCCUCCCUCCCAGCCACCCCUGCGGUGAGCCCGGCUUGCUCAGCUGAGGCAGCUCCCUGGGCCAGCACAGGCGGCCAAUGUCGCAGGCCUCUGAUGAUCUCCGAGAAAGGCC